rnacentral:rRNA from 1 species
CAUGUCAGAAGGCAGACCCGGAGAACUGAAACAUCUUAGUACCCGGAGGAAGAGAAAGAAAAAUCGAUUCCCUGAGUAGCGGCGAGCGAAACGGGAAGAGCCCAAACCAACAAGCUUGCUUGUUGGGGUUGUAGGACACUCUAUACGGAGUUACAAAAGAACAUGUUAGACGAAUCAUCUGGAAAGAUGAAUCAAAGAAGGUAAUAAUCCUGUAGUCGAAAACAUAUUCUCUCUUGAGUGGAUCCUGAGUACGACGGAGCACGUGAAAUUCCGUCGGAAUCUGGGAGGACCAUCUCCUAAGGCUAAAUACUCUCUAGUGACCGAUAGUGAACCAGUACCGUGAGGGAAAGGUGAAAAGUACCCCGGAAGGGGAGUGAAAGAGAACUUGAAACCGUGUGCUUACAAGUAGUCAGAGCCCGUUAAUGGGUGAUGGCGUGCCUUUUGUAGAAUGAACCGGCGAGUUACGAUCUGAUGCAAGGUUAAGCAGCAAAUGUGGAGCCGCAGCGAAAGCGAGUCUGAAUAGGGCGUUGAGUAUUUGGUCGUAGACCCGAAACCAGGUGAUCUACCCUUGGUCAGGUUGAAGUUCAGGUAACACUGAAUGGAGGACCGAACCGACUUACGUUGAAAAGUGAGCGGAUGAACUGAGGGUAGCGGAGAAAUUCCAAUCGAACUUGGAGAUAGCUGGUUCUCUCCGAAAUAGCUUUAGGGCUAGCCUCAAGUGAUGAUUAUUGGAGGUAGAGCACUGUUUGGACGAGGGGCCCCUCUCGGGUUACCGAAUUCAGACAAACUCCGAAUGCCAAUUAAUUUAACUUGGGAGUCAGAACAUGGGUGAUAAGGUCCGUGUUCGAAAGGGAAACAGCCCAGACCACCAGCUAAGGUCCCAAAAUAUAUGUUAAGUGGAAAAGGAUGUGGCGUUGCCCAGACAACUAGGAUGUUGGCUUAGAAGCAGCCAUCAUUUAAAGAGUGCGUAAUAGCUCACUAGUCGAGUGACACUGCGCCGAAAAUGUACCGGGGCUAAACAUAUUACCGAAGCUGUGGAUUGUCCUUUGGACAAUGGUAGGAGAGCGUUCUAAGGGCGUCGAAGCAUGAUCGCAAGGACAUGUGGAGCGCUUAGAAGUGAGAAUGCCGGUGUGAGUAGCGAAAGACGGGUGAGAAUCCCGUCCACCGAUUGACUAAGGUUUCCAGAGGAAGGCUCGUCCGCUCUGGGUUAGUCGGGUCCUAAGCUGAGGCCGACAGGCGUAGGCGAUGGAUAACAGGUUGAUAUUCCUGUACCACCUAGUAUCGUUUUAAUCGAUGGGGGGACGCAGUAGGAUAGGCGAAGCGUGCUGUUGGAGUGCACGUCCAAGCAGUAAGGCUGAGUGUUAGGCAAAUCCGGCACUCAUAAGGCUGAGCUGUGAUGGGGAGAGGAAAUUGUUUCCUCGAGUCGUUGAUUUCACACUGCCGAGAAAAGCCUCUAGAUAGAUAACAGGUGCCCGUACCGCAAACCGACACAGGUAGUCAAGAUGAGAAUUCUAAGGUGAGCGAGCGAACUCUCGUUAAGGAACUCGGCAAAAUGACCCCGUAACUUCGGGAGAAGGGGUGCUCUUUAGGGUUCACGCCCAGAAGAGCCGCAGUGAAUAGGCCCAAGCGACUGUUUAUCAAAAACACAGGUCUCUGCUAAACCGUAAGGUGAUGUAUAGGGGCUGACGCCUGCCCGGUGCUGGAAGGUUAAGAGGAGUGGUUAGCUUCUGCGAAGCUAC